UAGAGUUGGUGGAAAGUGAGGCGAGACUACCAACUUUUGUUUUAGAAAUAGAGAUCCAGCACUUGCGUGAAACACGAAUGCCUUAGGUGACACCAGAAGGAAAGGAAUAUCUUAGUUGUUUCUUCAUGGCUCCUAUCGGAAGCAACACUCGUCGGGCCUUGUGUUUGGUGUCUCUCCUGCUCAUGUCUACCAGCCUUUCGUCCUGUCAUGCAGGAGGUACAACAGAUGGUUCGUCGAACUUGUGCGUAACCCAGAAAGCCUGCGCACCGAAGUGGUCCAUAGAACCCUGGGGUAACUAUGCCUGCAAGUUUUACUGCGGAGUUCGAGGUUAUGAUGAGGAUAGGAGCCACUGCACACCAAACGGUAAAGGAUUUUGCUGCUGCGAAAAGUAAUGUAAGCUGUUUUUUUCUUUGCGACAUGAUUAAGCCUAGUUUUCAAUGUCGUGGAUUAUUGAAAGGACCCAUAUGCAUCAAGAUUUUAAUUGAGGGAAUGGUUGUAUCCUAGAAAACAAACAUUGUAAUGGUUGAUUUAUAUACUUUUCAUACCCGUCC